UGAGCUUGAUCCUGGCUCAGGAUGAACGCUAGCGGCAGGCUUAACACAUGCAAGUCGAGGGGUAUAGCACUUCGGUGCUAGAGACCGGCGCACGGGUGCGUAACGCGUAUGCAAUCUGCCUUUCACAGAGGGAUAGCCCAGAGAAAUUUGGAUUAAUACCUCAUAGUAUUAUGGAGUGGCAUCACUCUAUAAUUAAAGUCACAACGGUGAAAGAUGAGCAUGCGUCCCAUUAGCUAGUUGGUAAGGUAACGGCUUACCAAGGCAACGAUGGGUAGGGGUCCUGAGAGGGAGAUCCCCCACACUGGUACUGAGACACGGACCAGACUCCUACGGGAGGCAGCAGUGAGGAAUAUUGGACAAUGGGCGCAAGCCUGAUCCAUGCCAUGCCGCGUGCAGGAUGACCGGUCCUAUGGAAUUGUAAAUCUGCUUUUGUAGCGAGAAGAAACACUUCCUAUGUAUAGGAGCUGACCG
rnacentral:rRNA from 1 species